UGGCGGACGGGUGAGUAACGCGUGGAAAACCUGCCGUAUACUGGGGGAUAACACUUAGAAAUAGGUGCUAAUACCGCAUAAGCGCACAGCUUCGCAUGGAGCGGUGUGAAAAACUCUGGUGGUAUACGAUGGUUCCGCGUCUGAUUAGCUAGUUGGUGGGGUAAUGGCCUACCAAGGCAACGAUCAGUAGCCGGCCUGAGAGGGUGAACGGCCACAUUGGGACUGAGACACGGCCCAAACUCCUACGGAAGGCAGCAG
rnacentral:rRNA from 1 species